rnacentral:rRNA from 3 species
GGACUACUGGGGUUUCUAAUCCCGUUCGCUCCCCUGGCUUUCGCGCCUCAGCGUCAGAUCGGGUCCAGCAAGCCGCCUUCGCCACCGGAGUUCCUGUGGAUCUCAACGCAUUUCACCGCUCCACCCACAGUUCCGCUUGCCCCUACCCGCCUCCAGGCCGCCAGUAUCCAUGGCCGUUCCCCGGUUGAGCCGGGGGAUUUCACCACGGACUUGGCAGCCCGCCUACGCGCCCUUUAAGCCCAGUGAUUCCGAACAACGUUCGCACGGUUCGUCUUACCGCGGCUGCUGGCAC